AACGAACGCUGGCGGCAUGCCUAACACAUGCAAGUCGAACGAGACCUUCGGGUCUAGUGGCGCACGGGUGCGUAACGCGUGGGAAUCUGCCCCUUGGUUCGGAAUAACUUCGGGAAACUGAAGCUAAUACCGGAUAAUGACGUAAGUCCAAAGAUUUAUCGCCAAGGGAUGAGCCCGCGUAGGAUUAGCUAGUUGGUGGGGUAAAGGCUCACCAAGGCGACGAUCCUUAGCUGGUCUGAGAGGAUGAUCAGCCACACUGGGACUGAGACACGGCCCAGACUCCUACGGGAGGCAGCAGUGGGGAAUAUUGGACAAUGGGCGAAAGCCUGAUCCAGCAAUGCCGCGUGAGUGAUGAAGGCCUUAGGGUUGUAAAGCUCUUUUACCCGGGAAGAUAAUGACUGUACCGGGAGAAUAAGCCCCGGGCUAACUCCGUGCCAGCAGCCGCGGUAAU
rnacentral:rRNA from 1 species